rnacentral:rRNA from 1 species
AUUGAAAGCUGGCGGCAGGCUUAACACAUGCAAGUCGAGCGGAAACGAUGGGAGCUUGCUCCCAGGCGUCGAGCGGCGGACGGGUGAGUAACACUUAGGAAUCUACCUAGUAGUGGGGGAUAGCUCGGGGAAACUCGAAUUAAUACCGCAUACGACCUACGGGAGAAAGGGGGCAGUUUACUGCUCUCGCUAUUAGAUGAGCCUAAGUCGGAUYAGCUAGAUGGUGGGGUAAAGGCCUACCAUGGCGACGAUCUGUAGCUGGUCUGAGAGGAUGAUCAGCCACACCGGGACUGAGACACGGCCCGGACUCCUACGGGAGGCAGCAGUGGGGAAUAUUGGACAAUGGGGGGAACCCUGAUCCAGCCAUGCCGCGUGUGUGAAGAAGGCCUUUUGGUUGUAAAGCACUUUAAGCAGUGAAGAAGACCAUACGGUUAAUACCCAUAGCG